rnacentral:misc_RNA from 1 species
UACGUAGGGUGCAAGCGUUAUCCGGAUUUAUUGGGCGUAAAGUGUUUCGUCGGCGUUGUGGUAAGUUUCUUGUCUAAUCCUAGGGCUCAACUCUAGAUCGGCGGGGAAAACUAUCACAAUAGAGUCUGUUUGGGGGAACUGGAACACUCGGUGGAGGGGUGAAAUCCGUAGAUAUCGAGUGGAACACCAAUGGCGAAGGCAGGUUCCUAAGACAGUACUGACGCUCAUGAACGAAAGCUAGGGUAGCGAAAGGG